GACGAACGCUGGCGGCGUGCUUAACACAUGCAAGUCGAACGGAAAGGCCCUGCUUUCGUGGGGUGCUCGAGUGGCGAACGGGUGAGUAAGACGUGAGUAACCUGCCCUUGACUUUGGGACAACUUCAGGAAACCCGGGCUAAUACCGGAUAGGGGCUCCUGCUGCAUGGCGGUGGUUGGAUCGUUUCGGCGGUUGAGGAUGGACUCGCGGGUCAUCAGCUUGUUGGUGGGGUAGUGGCUUACCAAGGCUUUGGCGGGUAGCCGGCCUGACAGGGUGACCGGCCACAUUGGGACUAAGAUACGGCCCAGAAUGAUAAGGGAGGCAGCAGUGGGGAGUAUUGCACAAUGAGCAGAAGCCUGAUGCACCGACGCCACGUGAGGGGUGACGGCCAACGGGUUGUAAACCACUUUCGCCUGUGACGAAGCGUAAGUGACGGUAAUGGGUAAAGAAGCACCGGCUAACUACGUG
rnacentral:rRNA from 1 species